GGGCUGGUUAAUGAAGACACAUGCAAACCAUUGUUAAGGGAGCCCUAAGGGUGACUGGCCUAGUGGAUAGGGGAAAAGCAGCAGACAUGAUAUAUCUUGAUUUUUAGUAAUGCUUUUGACAGAGUCCACAUAAUAGUCUCAUAACGGAAGUUGGAUGAAAUCAUCAUCAGAUUCAUAGUUCUACCAUGCCUGUGGCUUCCCAUCUCCAUCAAACUGGCUUCUGCACAACAAUAGGGUAUUCCAUCAGUCCAUCACCUGCCUCACACACGUCUACUUCCCCAAACUGGAUCCAACAGCAUGAAGGACAGGAGCACUCCAAAACCUGCUGACUCCUCCAACUCUCUUAGCUACUACUAAAUUAAACAUUAUUGAAAUCUAUCAUCACAAACAGGAUCUGACCCUGCAAUAACCCAAGAGCAGCAGGCACUGGUCCACAUCUUGCAGCACUAUGCUGCUGGCUGGGUAGGGACAUGGCUCCUUCACAGGGCAUUGACAGCUGGGCAUGCCCACUGAGAGCAGAAGGGAGU